rnacentral:piRNA from 1 species
UGUCUGUGCCACUUUUUGAGGCCUUGUC